UACGAAGGGUGCAAGCGUUACUCGGAAUUACUGGGCGUAAAGCGUGCGCAGGCGGUUUGUUAAGUCUGUCGUGAAAGCCCCGGGCUCAACCUGGGAAUGGCGAUGGAUACUGGCGAGCUAGAGUACGGUAGAGGAGAGUGGAAUUCCCGGUGUAGCAGUGAAAUGCGUAGAUAUCGGGAGGAACAUCUGUGGCGAAGGCGACACCCUGGACCAGCACUGACACUGAGGCACGAAAGCGUGGGGAGCAAACAGG
rnacentral:rRNA from 1 species